GACCUCGGAUCAGGUAGGACUACCCGCUGAACUUAAGCAUAUCAAU
rnacentral:rRNA from 1 species